UACGGGGGGAGCAAGCGUUGUUCGGAUUUACUGGGCGUAGAGGGCGCGUAGGCGGUCAGCACAAGUCAGUUGUGAAAUCUCCGGGCUUAACUCGGAAAGGUCAACUGAUACUGUGCGACUAGAGUGCAGAAGGGGCAACUGGAAUUCUCGGUGUAGCGGUGAAAUGCGUAGAUAUCGAGAGGAACACCUGCGGCGAAGGCGGGUUGCCGGGCUGACACUGACGCUGAGGCGCGAAAGCCAGGGGAGCGAACGGG
rnacentral:rRNA from 1 species